GACAGAGGUGCCAAGCGUUAGGCGGAAUCACUGGGCUUAAAGCGUGUGUAGGCGGAUCGUUAAAUACCUUGUGAAAUCCCACGGCUUAACCGUGGAACUGCUCGGUAUACUGGCGGUCUUGAGCAACCUAGGGGCGAGCGGAACAAAUGGUGGAGCGGUGAAAUGCGUAGAUAUCAUUUGGAACGCCAAUGGUGAAAACAGCUCGCUGGGGGUUUGCUGACGCUGAGACACGAAAGCCAGGGGAGCAAACGGG
rnacentral:rRNA from 1 species